GGUAGUAUAGCUCAGUGGUAAGGUAUUCGACUGCAGAUUGAGAGGUCUCCGGUUCAAACCCGGUUUACCC
rnacentral:tRNA from 1 species